rnacentral:rRNA from 1 species
AGUGAACGCUGGCGGCGUGCCUAAUACAUGCAAGUCGAACGGAGAUUAAGUAGCUUGCUAUUUAAUCUUAGUGGCGCACGGGUGAGUAAUAUAUAGCUAAUCUGCCCUACACUAGAGGACAACAGUUAGAAACGACUGCUAAUACUCUAUACUCCUUCUAAGCAUAAGCUUAGUCGGGAAAGUUUUUCGGUGUAGGAUGAGGCUAUAUCGUAUCAGCUAGUUGGUAGGGUAACGGCUUACCAAGGCUAUGACGCGUAACUGGUCUGAGAGGAUGAUCAGUCACACUGGAACUGAGACACGGUCCAGACUCCUACGGGAGGCAGCAGUAGGGAAUAUUGCUCAAUGGGGGAAACCCUGAAGCAGCAACGCCGCGUGGAGGAUGACACUUUUCGGAGCGUAAACUCCUUUUCUUGGGAAAGAAU